rnacentral:rRNA from 1 species
AGUGAACGCUGGCGGUAGGCCUAACACAUGCAAGUCGAACGGCAGCACAGUAAGAGCUUGCUCUUACGGGUGGCGAGUGGCGGACGGGUGAGGAAUACAUCGGACUCUACUUUUUCGUGGGGGAUAACGUAGGGAAACUUACGCUAAUACCGCAUACGACCUACGGGUGAAAGCAGGGGAUCUUCGGACCUUGCGCGAUUGAAUGAGCCGAUGUCGGAUUAGCUAGUUGGCGGGGUAAAGGCCCACCAAGGCGACGAUCCGUAGCUGGUCUGAGAGGAUGAUCAGCCACACUGGAACUGAGACACGGUCCAGACUCCUACGGGAGGCAGCAGUGGGGAAUAUUGGACAAUGGGCGCAAGCCUGAUCCAGCCAUACCGCGUGGGUGAAGAAGGCCUUCGGGUUGUAAAGCCCUUUUGUUGGGAAAGAAAAGCAGCAGGUUAAUACCCCGAUGUUCUGACGGUACCCAAAGAAUAAGCACCGGCUAACUUCGUG